AAUGGGUCAGCGACUUAUAUUCUGUAGCAAGGUUAACCGAAUAGGGGAGCCGAAGGGAAACCGAGUCUUAACUGGGCGUUAAGUUGCAGGGUAUAGACCCGAAACCCGGUGAUCUAGCCAUGGGCAGGUUGAAGGUUGGGUAACACUAACUGGAGGACCGAACCGACUAAUGUUGAAAAAUUAGCGGAUGACUUGUGGCUGGGGGUGAAAGGCCAAUCAAACCGGGAGAUAGCUGGUUCUCCCCGAAAGCUAUUUAGGUAGCGCCUCGUGAAUUCAUCUCCGGGGGUAGAGCACUGUUUCGGCAAGGGGGUCAUCCCGACUUACCAACCCGAUGCAAACUGCGAAUACCGGAGAAUGUUAUCACGGGAGACACACGGCGGGUGCUAACGUCCGUCGUGAAGAGGGAAACAACCCAGACCGCCAGCUAAGGUCCCAAAGUCAUGGUUAAGUGGGAAACGAUGUGGGAAGGCCCAGACAGCCAGGAUGUUGGCUUAGAAGCAGCCAUCAUUUAAAGAAAGCGUAAUAGCUCACUGGUCGAGUCGGCCUGCGCGGAAGAUGUAACGGGGCUAAACCAUGCACCGAAGCUGCGGCAGCGACACUAUGUGUUGUUGGGUAGGGGAGCGUUCUGUAAGCCUGUGAAGGUGUACUGUGAGGUAUGCUGGAGGUAUCAGAAGUGCGAAUGCUGACAUAAGUAACGAUAAAGCGGGUGAAAAGCCCGCUCGCCGGAAGACCAAGGGUUCCUGUCCAACGUUAAUCGGGGCAGGGUGAGUCGACCCCUAAGGCGAGGCCGAAAGGCGUAGUCGAUGGGAAACAGGUUAAUAUUCCUGUACUUGGUGUUACUGCGAAGGGGGGACGGAGAAGGCUAUGUUGGCCGGGCGACGGUUGUCCCGGUUUAAGCGUGUAGGCUGGUUUUCCAGGCAAAUCCGGAAAAUCAAGGCUGAGGCGUGAUGACGAGGCACUACGGUGCUGAAGCAACAAAUGCCCUGCUUCCAGGAAAAGCCUCUAAGCAUCAGGUAACAUCAAAUCGUACCCCAAACCGACACAGGUGGUCAGGUAGAGAAUACCAAGGCGCUUGAGAGAACUCGGGUGAAGGAACUAGGCAAAAUGGUGCCGUAACUUCGGGA
rnacentral:rRNA from 1 species